GAAACGGCUCUUUCAGAGCCACUAACAUAUUGAAAACGGAGCAA
rfam:Ixodes scapularis strain Wikel colony gcontig_1107728938974, whole genome shotgun sequence.